AUGCCUCUUCCUGUUCCCUUUCAGUCUUUCCUUUGUCUGGCAUUGCAGGCUGAAUUCCUUCUGCUGCUGCCGCCGCCACCACAUCUAACACUGCCUGCUGGUGGUCUUCUUGUUCCUGUUCACGUUCUUGUUCGUGUUUAUGUUCGUGUUCGUGUUCGUGUUCAUGUUCAUGUUCUUGUUCAUGUUUGUGUUCAUGUUUUCUUUCUUGUUCUUGUUCGUGUUCUUGUUCAUGUUUGUGUACUUGUUUGUGUUCAUGUUCGUGUUCGUGUUCACGUUCUUGUUCGCAUUCACAUUCUUGUUCAGGUUCUUGUUCAGGUUCACUUUCUUGUUCGUGUUCAGGUUCACUUUCUUGUUCGUGUUCUUGUUCGUGUUCGUGUUCAUGUUUGUGUUCUUGUAUGUGUUCAUGUUCUUGUUCUUGUUCACGUUCUUGUUUGUGUUCACGUUCACGUUCUUGUUCGCGUUCACGUUCACAUUCGUGUUCACGUUCUUGUUUGGGUUCACAUUCUUGUUCGGGUUCACAUUCUUGUUCGUGUUCAGGUUCACUUUCUUGUUCUUGUUCGUGUUCAUGUUCGUGUUCUUGUAUGUGUUCAUGUUCUUGUUCUUGUUCACAUUCUUGUUUGUGUUCACGUUCACGUUCUUGUUCGCGUUCACGUUCGCAUUCGUGUUCACGUUCUUGUUUGGGUUCACAUUCUUGUUCGGGUUCACAUUCUUGUUCCUGUUCGUGUUCUUGUUCUUGUUUGUGUUCGCGUUCACGUUCGCGUUCACGUUCGCGUUCAGGUUCACAUUCUUGUUCACAUUCACUUUCUUGUUCGUGUUCACAUUCUUGUUCACGUUCGUGUUCGCAUUCUUGUUCAUGUUCGCGUUCUUGUUCAUGUUCUUGUUCAUGUUCACUUUCUUGUUCUUGUUCGUGUUCACGUUCUUGUUCUUGUUCGUGUUCACGUUCUUGUUCGCAUUCGUGUUCACGUUCUUGUUUGGGUUCAUGUUCUUGUUCACGUUCUUGUUUGUGUUUAUGUUUAUGUUCGUGUUCACAUUCUUGUUCAUGUUCUUGUUCAUAUUCUUUUUUGUGUUCUUGUCCUUGUUCUUCUUCUUCUUGUUCCUCCUCCUUCUCUUCCCCUACCUUCAACUGCUGGCCCCCUGCCAUCUUGGUUGCCUCCUCUAGCCUCCUCUGCAUUCCACCGCUUAACAAUGAAAAAGCUGAAACUGCUUGCGGAAGCCCCUCAUUUGUUGAAAUCAUCUCCUGCCCAUUCUCUUGACUUUCUUGAGUCCCUUCUGCCCCUUCAACAUCCCACUUUAGAUCCCACUGAUGGCUUUUCCCUGCCCCUUCUAGCAUCUUCUNCUGGUCUUCUUGGGACUCUGGUUUUCCUUGAAGAACCCCCUCUGCNCCUGCCAUAUCUUGCUGCCCCUGCUGGUUUCCUAUUUCAUCUUGCUGCUCCCUUUCAGCCUUUAUCUUGUGGUGGUUCACCAUCUUUACCUCUUUCUCCAGGCCCACAGGCUGAAAUCCUUCAUUAUAUUUGA
rnacentral:lncRNA from 1 species